GAGGGUAUAGCUCAGUGGUAGAGUGCAUGCUUACUUAGCAUGCAGGAGGUCAUGGGUUCGAUCCCCAGUACCUGCA
rfam:Camelus ferus unplaced genomic scaffold scaffold595, whole genome shotgun sequence.